AGUCCAUCACAAUGAGUAAAUGAAAGUUGGUUUUGGAUUACAAUUAUGUCAACAACCCAUCCCCACUUUUGCCAAGCUCCACGUGCAAAUUGCCCCUCCGCUUCCCGUUUUUAGAAUGGGGCUCUGUUGUUUCAUCGCCUCUAAUGCGUUCAAAGGAUCACCGCCGUUUAAAACUGAAAAGCGCUAUAUGGAUUGACCAUGGCUCCACAGCGAAAGUUAUAUGGUUUGCAUGCCCUGCGGAAGGACCCUAGUAUGCGGAAAGGUGGUUGGAGUUCGUCAGUCUCCAAGUCUGCAAUGUUCGGUGGUGACCCUCCCAUUCAACACCACCUCAUAAGAUGAGGAAGUCCAUUGUUUGAGGAUUGCUUGCAGCAGCAGUUCGAGAAAUGUCAAGUUUGCAGCCGAACAUGCAACAUAGAGAAGACCAGCAAGGGGACCCUCAGCAUCACACAGACAUGCCCUCGCUGUGAGAAUUCCUAUACAUGGAACAGGGAGAACGCUCGAAUCAGUAUCUUUGAUGAGGGGCCAUGCUGCCAUGCCCAUCAAUUGGGCGCUGGCAAAGACCUCAACUCCAGCCUCACCUCUUGCCUGCUCACCAACGGUCGUUGAUGGGGAAACCAGAAUUAGAUGCAGCUAUGGCGCCAGCACUUGGAGACUUGCAAGAUGAUGUGAUGGAGUCCGGACCGACAGACAGACUUGAUACUGACGUCUCUGAAUGGAGAGAGACCUGGCACUCAACACAUCCACAAUGUGGGACUGAAGGGGAUUACUACUAAUACAGUACACCAGAAAUGUACAUUUGCAACACCCUUUUCAUUCCAUUUGUCGCUGAUAAACUCUGACUCAACUCUGCCUAUUUCUACAGAUGGACUGUAGAUGCUUUUGCCAGUCGGCAGCCUCAGUCAUUUGAUGGGGAGACCAUAAUUGGAAACAUGUAUGGAGCCAGCACAUGGAGACAUGCAAGAUG